GAGGAUAUAGCUCAGUUGGUAGAGUGCUUGCCUCACAUGUACAAGGCCCUGGGUUCAAUCCCCAGUACCACA
rnacentral:tRNA from 2 species